CAGACCGGUAGCAGUUGCGGCUGCGGCUGCGCGCCCGGCAUAGCGCGGACGCUUGUGCGCCGAGCCGACCUGGUUCAGCACCCACUCGAGAUACGGCUCGAUGAAGUGCCAGCCGCCCAUGUUGCGCGGCUCUUCCUGGCACCAGACCACUUCGGCAUUCUUGAAGCGCUCAAGCACCUGCACCAGCGCCUUGAGCGGCACGGGAUAG
rnacentral:misc_RNA from 1 species